UACGUAGGUGGCGAGCGUUGUCCGGAUUUAUUGGGCGUAAAGCGCGCGCAGGCGGUCGGUUAAGUCUGCUGUGAAAUCUCCCGGCUCAACUGGGAGGGGGCGGCGGAGACUGGGCGACUGGAGGGACCUAGAGGCCGGUGGAAUUCCCGGUGUAGUGGUGAAAUGCGUAGAGAUCCGGAGGAACACCAAAGGCGAAGGCAGUGUCCUGGGGAGUACCUGACGCUCAGGUGCGAAAGCCAGGGGAGCGAACAGG
rnacentral:rRNA from 1 species